CUGGUUGAUCCUGCCGGCGGCCACCGCUAUUGGAAUUCGAUUAAGACAUGCGAGUCGAGAGUCGUAAGGACUCGGCGGACCGCUCAGUAACACGCGGAUAACAUGCCCUUAGGUGGAGGAUAAUCUCGGAAAACUGAGGAUAAUACUCCAUAGAUCUACUAUGCUGGAAUGCUUGUAGGUCCAAAACUCCGGUGCCUAAGGAUUGGUCUGCGGCGUAUCAGGUCGUAGUGGGUGUAACGGACCCACUAGCCGAUGACGCGUAAGGGCCUUGAGAGAGGGAGCCCUGAGAUGGACUCUGAGACAUGAGUCCAGGCCCUACGGGGCGCAGCAGUCGCGAAAACUUCACAAUGGGGGAAACCCCGAUGAGGGAAUUCCAAGUGUCAGCACAUUGUGUUGACUGUUCCCCUGUCUAAAAAACAGGAGAAGUAAGGGCCGGGUAAGACGGGUGCCAGCCGCCGCGGUAAUACCCGCGGCCCGAGUGGUGGUCGAUAUUAUUGAGCCUAAAACGUUCGUAGCCGGUCUUGUAAAUCCUUGGGUAAAUCGGCCAGCUUAACUGUCCGAAGUCCGGGGAGACUGCAAGACUUGGGAUCGGGAGAGGUCAGAGGUACUUCUGGGGUAGGGGUAAAAUCCUGUAAUCCUAGAAGGACCACCGGUGGCGAAGGCGUCUGACUAGAACGAAUUCGACGGUGAGGAACGAAGCCCUGGGGCGCAAACGGGAUUAGAUACCCCGGUAGUCCAGGGUGUAAACGCUGCGGGCUUGGUGUUGGGGGUCCUUAGUGGGCGCCCAGUGCCGGAGAGAAGUUGUUAAGCCUGCUGCUUGGGGAGUAUGUCCGCAAGGAUGAAACUUAAAGGAAUUGGCGGGGGAGCACCGCAACGGGAGGAGCGUGCGGUUCAAUUGGAUUCAACGCCGGG
rnacentral:rRNA from 1 species